rfam:Oryza sativa (indica cultivar-group) chromosome 2, whole genome shotgun sequence.
AAAAAAGCAAAUCCUGACUUUCCGUGUCCAACUUUAACUAUCUGUUUUAUAUAAAUUUUUUUUUAUAAUUCGUAUUUUUAUUAUUGUUAGAUGAUAAAAUAUAAUUAAUAUUUUAUACGUGACUUGUCUUUUUAAUUUUUUUCAUAAUUUUUUUAAAUAAGACGGACGAUCAAACGUUGGGCACGGAAAUCAGGGUUUGUCUUUUU